AGGGAGCAGAACCCUCUCUAACAGAAUUCUUCACUGAAUUCCAUCAAACCUUUUAAUACAGCUACAGCAUAUAUUUUCUGCCUGACAACUCAAGUGACCUCGCAUUAAGAUGAUUGAGAGUGGAAUAUCCAUUCUUUCCAGGAAAAGAUGACCCUAUAAUCAGAGAUGUGGUUUGAUCUUCUGCAAUGCCAGCAAAACAAUCAGACUUCAUAUCACUCCCCAACAUCUGAGUCAUAACAUUGAGAAUAUAACAAAAAUAACAUUGUGUGGGAAGUACCGAGAUUCCUGUCUAGGUACAUCUGUACCAGGUACAGUCAAGCUCCUUUUCAGUCUCUCCUUAGGACCUAAUCUCACCCUCACUCAUUUUUUACAUUAUAUCUGUAACA
rnacentral:lncRNA from 10 species